rfam:Triticum urartu cultivar G1812 contig1199985, whole genome shotgun sequence.
AUAAUACUCCCUCCGUUCCAAAUUACUCGUCGCAGAAAUGGAUGUAUCUAGAACUAAAAUACAUCUAGAUACAUCCAUACCUGCGACAAGUAAUUCGGGACGGAGGGAGUAGUUA